GGCAUUUCGUUGUAUCAAAAAAGUUUUAAAGCCUUAAUCGGGCAAAACUAUGCCUAGUGACAGUUACUGAGGCCUACUAUUACCAUUAUACACGCAUAUACUCGAUUUUAUUGUUUUUGAAAACAGUUGUCAAAGGCUAUAUAGAGAAUAAAGUCAAAAUGCGUAUAUAAUUGUUUGCUUGUAAUUCAGCAAAUUGUUAUGUCAUAGUGUUAUAAUUGCAAUGUUAUAUGUUGUACGAAUUUUGUAUCGUUGCGUGCUAUUGCCCUUAUUUACCCAGGCCGACCGUCCUACUAUUUAAUAGACGGCCUGAUAAGACGUUAUCUUUAAAACAGCAAUUCGCAAGUUUGGAACAUUUCUCUCCUUAGACGUUGUAAGCUGCUGUUUUAACUUAUCAUGCAAUGCAUACGUUUCGAUACCUUUUUGUCGUAAAGACGCUGAAUUAUGAGUUUUUGACAAUUGAUUUCGAGCGCCAUGUUUUUUGGCCAACCUCGUACCCAGAGCAGAGACCCUGGUGGACGCUGGUCACGUGAUCUGCUAAAAUCUAGCAGAUUUCUAAUUAACUAUCUUGGAUUCCUUUACGACAAGCAUACAAAAUGCAAAUUAUAAAUUAAACUAUCAAAAUAAUCCAAAUAUCAAAUGUUUAUUGACCUGAUCUUGGAUUGCUAAUUAAAAAUCUGC
rnacentral:lncRNA from 1 species